rnacentral:tRNA from 1 species
GCCGCCAUCGUCCAGUGGUUAGGACAUCGGGUUCUCAGUCCGAAAACACGGGUUCAACUCCCGUUGGCGGUACCA